UACGAAGGGGGCUAGCGUUGCUCGGAAUCACUGGGCGUAAAGGGUGCGUAGGCGGGUCUUUAAGUCAGGGGUGAAAUCCUGGAGCUCAACUCCAGAACUGCCUUUGAUACUGGCGAUCUCGAGUCCGGGAGAGGUGAGUGGAACUGCGAGUGUAGAGGUGAAAUUCGUAGAUAUUCGCAAGAACACCAGUGGCGAAGGCGGCUCACUGGCCCGGUACUGACGCUGAGGUACGAAAGCGUGGGGAGCAAACAGG
rnacentral:rRNA from 1 species